rnacentral:rRNA from 1 species
ACCUUGGUCUGGCUAUGAUACCACUAGGGAAAGAUUUGAGGCUUCGCUCUUACCCAGCGUGCCUUUAAAACUAUAGCUGUCUANGCUAUCGCUGCAUAGCGCUUCGCAGAACAGUAUGUGAAUGAACCUAUUGGUUUCUCUAAUGCUGGCUAUGCUGGUGCUGUUAGUGUAGUGGUCUGGGUUUAGUCCCAAGCAUAGGCACUCAACUAUGAAGUAAAGGUCCGACUAAGUCGUGUCCAAUACUGAACCAUGGUCUCAAAUCAGGUAGGAGGACCCGCUGAACUUAAGCAUAUCAAUAAGCGGAGGAAAAGAAACUAACAAGGAUUCCCCUAGUAACGGCGAGUGAAGCGGGAACAGCUCAAAAUUUGAAAUCUCACUGUUUCNCAGUGCGAAUUUGUAGUUUAGAGGAAGCCGUU